rnacentral:rRNA from 1 species
UACCAGCACCCCGAGUGGUCGGGACGAUUAUUGGGCCUAAAGCGUCCGUAGCCGGUUCUUUAAGUCCUCCGUUAAAUCCACCUGCUUAACAGAUGGGCUGCGGAGGAUACUAUAGAGCUAGGAGGCGGGAGAGGCAAGCGGUACUCAAUGGGUAGGGGUAAAAUCCGUUGAUCCAUUGAAGACCACCAGUGGCGAAGGCGGCUUGCCAGAACGCGCUCGACGGUGAGGGAUGAAAGCUGGGGGAGCAAACCGG